UUCAAAGGAAGCGAACAAGUAGCAGUAAUGAAAGAGGCAACCAAGAAAGGCAGCUGAGAUCAUGUUAAUUAUUGUAGACCUGCCUCUCUCUCUCUCUCUCUCUCUCUCUCUCUAUGCUCUUCGACGUUGGACACCAGUGAUUCCUUGGCUUUCUUUUCUUGUGAGCUUCAUUGAUUACUAAGUUAGUCAAAACUAGGAAACCACAGAUUCUUUGUGAGAAAAAGACAAGGAGUGGGGUGGUCUGUGUUGUGGAUCAAAAACUUAAGAGAAAGAAGAGGUGGUGAGCACAGGGGAUGAUAAGUAUCAGGAUCGAGAGGAUGGAAAGAGAGCUUACGAUCGAAAUGUAAAGGAUACGAACUGCGAGGGAAAACAUAGAUUACAUCCACCGGUACCUAAAGCUAUAACCAUGUCACGAGGAGACGGACACUCGAGUGGAACAAAGCAAGAUUAGUAAGUAAUGAGGUGGGGGGAAGGAGGUGAGGGAAGGAAAGAGACAUGGGGUCUACUUUAUGGAGUUGAGGAGGAGGAUGGCUUUUGUUUUGUCCUUGCUGCCCCCAAGGCAACUCCAUUGCCCCAAAAAUCCUCUCUCUCUCUCACUCUCUCUCUCUCUCAGAAACAGAGGUUUAUUCCCUUCUAUCUUCCAGUUUACAAUGCAAAUCACAUUUCCUGAGGAGGAAAAGGGGAAAUAAAUAAUAUGCAGGAAAUGAGAGAGGAAGAUUCUAUUCGCCCCUCCUCCUACGCCUCUUCUUACUAAGGGCCGUACGAGCUCUUGUUGAAAGGAAACAGAAAAAAUAGGCCUUUCCUCCAUCCCUUGUAGCUAUCUUGUUCUCUUUCUCUCGGCCACGGUGCUCUUUUUCAUUUUUGUUCUAUGGCAUCAUUUGCUGUGGAAGCUUGAUAUGGUAAGCCAUGGCUUUUUCUGAUUGAAUUCCUUGGGUAGGUGCAAUAGCCUUUUUGUUUCUCCUCUUGUUGCGAUCCUUGGUCUCCUCGGCCUACCAUUCUUCUUUUGUUCAUCGGGUUCUCGCUUACGGAAGAGAUAAGGGAGGGCGAGAGGAGAAGGAUCUGUUUUUGGCUUGAGAUUUUUGGCGAUCGAGUGUUGUUGAGCAUGGAAAGGUGAGAUUUUUGGUGAUCGCAAGUGUCCGUCUGAUGAGUUUCAUUGAAUAGAAGGAAGAAGAAGAAGAAGAAGAAGAAGAAGAAGAAGAGAGGAGAAAGGAUGAGAGCGGAGCUGAGCACGAUCCAGCAGACGCUGACGCCGGAGGCAGCCAGCGUGCUGACCCGCUCCAUCGCCGAGGCGGCGAGGCGGAGCCACGGGCAGACGACGCCGCUCCACGUCGCCGCCACCCUCCUGGCGACGCCGUCUGGCCUCCUCCGUCAGGCCUGUAUCCGAUCCCACCCCCAGUCCUCCCACCCCCUGCAGUGCCGCGCCCUCGAGCUCUGCUUCUCCGUCGCCCUCGACCGCCUCCCUGCGUCUAAUCCCAGCCCCUCCGGCGACAGCGGGGCCCUCGCCGAGCCUCCCAUCUCCAACGCGCUCAUGGCGGCUCUCAAGCGCGCCCAGGCCAACCAGCGCCGCGGCUGCCCCGAGCUGCAGCAGCAACCGCUCCUCGCCGUCAAGGUCGAGCUGGAGCAGCUCCUCAUAUCAAUCCUUGACGACCCCUCCGUCAGCCGCGUCAUGCGCGAGGCCAGCUUCUCCUCCAUCGCCGUUAAGGCCGCCGUCGAGCAAUCCAUCUCCUCCUCUACCUCCACUCACACCGCCGCCGCCGCUGUCAACACCCCAUCCAUUGCCUCUCUUGUCACCGCCACUCCUCCUCCCGCCGCCUCUCGCUUUCUUGGUCUAACCAACCAUGCUGCCCCGCGCCACAACCUCUACAUAAAUCCUCGCCUCCUCCACCAGCACCAUGCCAAUGGCGGCAGCGGCAUCCCAGCCAUUGCUGCCGGAGCUGCCGGCGACCAGCCCCGGACGGAGGAAGUGAAGCGGGUGUUAGAUAUCUUAUUGAGACCCAAAAAGCGAAACCCAAUUCUUGUCGGUGACUGCAAUCUUGAUGCCGUGAUAAAGGAAGUGUUGCAGAGGAUUCAGUCCAGCGACGCCCAGCCGCCACUGCGGAACACCCAUGUGCUUCCUUUCGCAAAGGAGAUCGCCACCGCCGCUCCCGACCAUUCCCAGAUUACCAUCAAGAUCAGGGAACUCAGCAGCUCGAUCGAGUUCAUGAUCGGCGGGGAGAGUGGUGUGAUCCUCGAUCUGGGCGACCUUAAGUGGCUCGUGGAGAGCCCCAGCGUCUCGACAGGCUCCGGCGCAAUUCAGCCGCCGGUGGUCUCAGAGGCCGGUCGCGUAGCGGUGCAGGAAGUAGGAAGGCUUCUGAAGAGGUUCGAAGAAGGAUGUCGGGUGUGGCUGGUCGGGACGGCCACUUGUGCGACGUACCUCCGCUGUCAGGUCUACCACCCGACGAUGGAGAACGAUUGGGAUCUACAGGCCGUGCCGAUCGCGCAGAGGUCGUCAUCCCUCUUCCAUAUGUUCCCAAGGCUUGGGGGCAAUGGCGUCCUCAACAGCUCCGUCGACAAACCAGCACCAGUGAAGGGCUUAACAGGGAUGGGUGCCACUGCUCUGCCUCUGAGACAUCAACCGAGGACCGACCUCUGUGCCGUCUGCAUGGAGAACUACGAGCGCGAGUUAUCCCGGCUCGUCGCCGAUGAGUUCGACAAGCACUCCACGAAACCAGAGGCGAGCCAGGCUUUACCUCAGUGGCUGCAGCUUGCAAAGCUCGGCAGCGGAGGCGGCGCUAAGUCUCCCUCUUCUCCUCUUCAGGUGUCCAAGGAGGAAGAGCUACUCUGGAAGCAGAGCACCGACGAACUACUGAAGAAAUGGUGCGAGACCUGUUCCCGUCUUCAUCCUCACUUCCAUCAGUCUCACGGUGGCUUCGGCUCGUCUUUGUCUCCACCGGCGUCGAAGCCCUCGAGCGUGGUUAGACCACAUCCACCAUGUGAACCCAAGCAAACUCCAUCUCGGGGUCUCUCUCCUCCUCGGUCGGAGAGCAACCAGGACGCCGUUGCGCCUCCGGGGAGUCCUGUGAAGACUGACCUGGUCCUCGGGAGCUCAAAGUUAUCCGAUUCUUCCUCGGACAGCUCCCACAAAGACCGCCUAAAGGACUUCACGGGUUGCACGCCGGACGCCUUCUCCGGUCAGCAGCAGCGAGCUAAAGUUGCCGGCAUUUCGGAUAUCGAUACGUUCAAGAGGCUGUUUCAUGGGCUCGCGGAGAAGGUCAGCUGGCAGCAGGAAGCAGCGUCGGCGAUUGCUACUGUCGUGAUGCGAUGCAAGUCCGGGAAUGGCAAGCGGCGGAAUGUUGGGAGUAAGAGCGAUGCUUGGCUUCUUCUUCUUGGGCCCGACAGGGUUGGCAAGAGGAAGAUGGCAAAUGCUCUGUCGGAGCUGGUGUUCGGGACCGGACCUACGACUGUUAGCUUCGGUCGCGGCAGUGAUGGGGAGUCCAAUGUUAGCUGCCGCGGGAGGACAUCCAUGGACCGAAUCGUAGAGGCCGUUCAGCGGAAUCCUUUCUCGGUGGUCGUGCUCGAGGACAUCGAUCAAGCGGACAUGCUCCUGCAAGGAAAGGUUAAGCAGGCGAUGGAGAGGGGUCGUCUGCCCGAUUCAUACGGCCGGGAGGUCAGCUUGGGGAGUGUCAUCUUCGUCCUCACUGCAGAUUGGCUGCCGGAAGAGCUCAAGAGCUCAUACUCUUCCCUCCUCCAGUACGAGGAGAAGAUCCUGGAUUCAGCCUAUUGUGGCUGGGAAUUGGAGCUCUCGACGGCGGACAAGCCUGGGAAACGUCGUCCCUCUUGGGCAUGCGACGACGACCGGCCGACGAAACUGAGGAAGGACUCAUCGACCGGCACCGGCCUGUCCCUCGACUUGAAUCUAGCGGUGGGAACAGACGCCGCUGAGGCCGGGGAAGGAUCACGGAACUCGAGCGACCUCACCACGGAGCACGAAUACGACAAGGGCAGGUUGUCCAUCAAAAGUUCGACGUUUUCCCUGGCCCUGGACCUGGUGGAGCUGGUGGACGAAGCCGUAACAUUCAAGCCGGUGGACUUGGGUCUGCUGAGGAGGAGCAUCCUGGAGUCCGCAUCGGUGAAAUUUGCCGCCGUGAUGGGCAAAGGGUGGGCAAUUAGGAUCGACGACGACGCCCUCGACCGAAUCGUCGGCGGUCUAUGGCUCGGCGGUGCAUCGAUCGACGACUGGGCCGAGAGGGCAUUGGUCCCUAGCUUGAAGCAAGUGAGGGACAACCUGCGAGCAGACCGCGGGGCUGUAGUUCUCCGGCUAUCCACCGUGAAGGGCAACCGAGCGCAGCAGCAACAGAGAAGGAGCGACGGGGGUUGGCUGCCGACAACGGUGGCCAUCGCGAUCGAUGGUUCUCACGACAAGGAAUUUUUGUGAGGAGAUAUAAUGUAGAUGUAGUUAGCGUGCUUCAUGCCACCGACAAGUGACUGUGACUACCGAUAAGAGGAGAUAGGUGUGUGGAGAAAGCUUUGACACCCAUAUAAUACUUUCGCUGUGUGUCUCCGGUACCAAUACCAUGUUCUCGAGGAAGACGAUGAUGGUGGUCUCAGGGAAAUGCGUAGUUCUGCAAACUGAGGCGGCAUUAAAUGGCGACCAUGUGGUGUUGUCUGCACUUGGAACUCUUGAAGAAAUAAAUGGAAAUUUUGGGGAAGCGUCGUCGACUAUAAAUAUCCAGAACAGUUAGUGACAAGAAAAAUGAUUCGCCAGAAACGCUCGACUCCCACAGAUUACCGAGCAUUUGAGAGCCAUGGAAAGGGAUCAUGGCCUCAAAAGUCCAUGGACAUCUUCGUUGUGGCCAACGGACGAACAACUUGCGGGCGGGCGGUGGGCAGAGAGGCAGCAACCAGUGGCCGUCGUUUUCCGGCCUUCUUGCUUGUGACUGGAACAGGGUGGGGGUGGGUUGGCCAAACGUCAAUGCCGUGACGGCCAAGCCAUGGAUCCAUAAAUGAGGAGUGCAUGUGUAAAGGCGACCGGACCACCGCAGAAUCACGAAGGCUUAAGACAGGACAAGCA